rnacentral:lncRNA from 1 species
GCCUGCGCAUUGGCUAGCUGCUCACAGCCGCGUACCCCUGGCGCUGCUACCUCGCUCGGUUCGGUGUCCGUGCCGCUUGGACCUUGACCUCGAGUGCACGCGCGGGCACCUUGGUUCCUUAGGUCUGCGGGAGUCCUCGGCGGAGAGUCCAAAGCAAACCUCGAAGAGGGACUCCUCAAUGGGCUUCGGGCUGAGCGGGGCAGCAGAAGAAGAGGCCGCAACCUCCUCCAAGUCCAUGCGUCUGCCUGGUUUCGCAGUACGUUAUGGAUCCCACCCUCUUGCUGUCUUUUCCAGACCACUCAGCAGUUAAAAUGAGAGGGACGGGAGCAGCACUCACCAGGCUCAGAGGUAAGCACCUGGCCAACUCAAGACCAUAGACGGGUUAAGGGAGCUGGCAUCUGUGGGGCAAGGACUAGGGGAGAUGGUGUUAUGGAAUAAUAAAAUAUCUGGGUCCCUUUCCAGGAAUUCUUAUUACAGACCCGUUAGUGGAGUUGUUAGAGGAGCAGGAACAAAGAUAUUCAUUGGCAGGUUUUUAUAAUAGUGGAAGCCUGAAAACCUAAACGACUUUAAGACUGAGCUUGAUAAAUAAUGGUUCAUCUGUUCUGCAGAGAAUUAGGCAGCCAACACCAAGAAAAGCUAAUACUGUAGGACCUCAAGAAUACAAAGCUAAAUAGAAAAUGUUUGUUUCUACUUAUUUUAAAAAAUGGAGGACUUUUAAGAUUAUGUACGCAUAAAAUCAGUCUUUACCAUUGCUUUCGGUUCUAACAUUCUAAAGCCUGGUAUGCCACAAGGGGAAAAAAAGGAUAUUUUUCUAAGCUUGGGCAAGAUUUCAAUUUUAUUUUAUUUUUAUUUUAUUGUCUCUUUAGGGCCACACCCACGGCAUAUCAAUGUUCCCAGGCAUGGGGUUGAAUCGGAGUUGUAGCUGGAGGCCUACACCACAGCCACAGCAGCGUGGGAUCCGAGCCACAUCUGAGACCUACACCACAGCUCAUGGCAAUGCCAGAUACUUAACCCACUGAGCAGUGCCAGGGAUCAAACCCACGUCCUCAUGAAUACCAUUCGGAUACGUUUACCACCGAGCCACGACAGGAACACCAAGGUUUAAAUUUUAAAGUCUAUAUUGUUUUCCACAGUUCCUGGCCUGACCAUAUAGCAGGCACUCAGUAUUUGUUUAAGUUGUCUAGAUAUAGAGAUGAAUUUUUCCUCACACCUCUGCUCACUCCUUCACUCCCUACCAUACCUGGGGACUUCAUCUACCACUGGCUCCGUAGAAACACCCCACAUGUAUAUUAAUAACAUGUUCUUUUUUCUUUUUUUUCUUGUAAAAAUCUCUUUUUACAUUACUGAGACUCUUGCUUAGACACUAAAUCUCUGGCACCCGGGAUCAUUUUAGUAUAUAUUACUAGAAAUUAGUGAUCUUGGGUUUUUUUUUCCUGGAUGAAAACUUCGAUAUAUUCUUUUCUUUUUUUGCUUUUUAGGGCCGCAACUGCAGCAUUUGCAAGUUCCCAGGCUGGGGGUCUAAUUGGAGCUGUAGCUACCCUCCUACACCACAGCAAUGCUGGAUCCUUAACCCACUGAACAAGUCCAGGAAUCGAACCCACAUCUUCAUGGAUACUAGUUGGAUUCGUUUUCGUUGCACCACACAAAACUCCUCAAUAUAUUUUUUGCUUUUGCCUCUCUACUCUGUGCCUGGGAUUAUAGAAAUAAAGGGGUAGUCUUGAUCACCUCCCAGGAACUCAGAGUUUGUGAGGAGAGCAGACUGGUAAAUGAAUCAUUAUAAUACCAAGUGACUUGCCCUAUGGCAGGGAUGGUUAUGAGGUGCCAAGGCAGCAGAAAGGAAAAUGGCACAGGUAUGCCCAAGGAUUGAAGGAAAACCUCCAAGGGGUGUAUUUAUUUUCUUUUGCUGCAUAACAAACACCACAGACUUAGUGGCUUCAAACAACACUUGUUUAUUAGCUCACAGUUCUGUAGGUCAGCAUCAGCAUCAUGGCUGGGUUCUCUGGUCAGUAUCACAGGCUGAAAGCAAGAUGUCAGCUGGCCUGAGUUCUCAUCUAGAGGUCCUGGGAAACAUGUGCUUCCAACCUCACUCUUGGCAGAAUUCAGUUUCCUGUAGAGUUGUGGGUUGUUGUACAGGUGAGGUUCCCAUUUCCUUGCAGGCAGUCAGCCAGAGCUUGCUAUCAGCUGCUAGAACCCACUGGCAUUCCUUGCCAUGUGACCUCCUCCAUCCUCAAAGCCAGCAACCAAGGAUUUCUUACACACUGGACCCCCCUUACAUGUUGAAUAUCUGACCUCUUUUUCUUUUUUAAAUUGGAGUAUAGUUGCUUUACAAUGUUGUGUUGGUUUCAGGUGUACAGCAUGUGAUUUAGUUAUACAUAAUUCUUUUUCAGAUUCUUUUCCCAUGUAGGUUAUUUACAAAAUAUUGAGUAGUUUCCUGUGUUAUACAGUUGGUCCUCGUUGACCUAUUUUAUAUAUAGUAGUGUGUAUAUGUUAAUACCAAUCUCUUAACUUAUCCCUCCCCCGCCACAUUUUCACUUUGGUCACCACAAGUUUGGUUUCAAAGCCUGUGAAUCUUUUUCUGUUUUGUAAAUAAGUUCAUUUGUAUCAUUUUUUAUUAGUUUCCACAUGUAAGAGAUACCAUAUGAUAUUUGUUUUUCUCUGACUUAACUUAGUAUGAUAAUCUCUAAGUCCAUCCAGGUUACUGCAAAUGGCAUUAUUUCAUUCUUUUUUAUGGCUGAGUAAUAUUCAAUUGUACAUGUGUACCACAUCUUCUUUAUUCAUUCAUCUCUUAAUGGACAUUUAGCGUAGGAGGGUUCCCUUUUCUCUACACGCUCUCCAGCAUUUAUUGUUUGUAGACUUCUCGAUGAUGGCCAUUCUGACUGGUGUGAGGUGAUACUUCACUGUAAUUUUGAUUUGCAUUUUUCUAAUUAGCAAUGUUGAGCACCUUUUCAUGUGUGUUUUUGGCCAUCUAUAUGUCUUCUUUGGAGAAAUGUCUAUUUAGGUCUUCUGCCAACUUUUUUUGAUUGAGUCAUUUAGGUUUUUUGAUAGCUGAAUGACCUGUUUGUAUACUUUGGAGAAUAUUCCCUUCUUGAUCUUUUCAUUUGCAAAUAUUUUCUCCCAUUCUGUGGGUUGUCUUUUUGUAACUUCCUCUUUUGCUACCAGCCAGAGUAAACUACUUUUAAAGAGUUCAUAUGAUUAGAUCAGGCCCACCAAGAUCAACUAUCAUACGACUAACCCACUUAUAGCCCCCCAGCAGACUGCCUCUUGUUUUUGCAGCAAGGCCUCUAAUGGUGCCCCCAAUUCAUGCCUUCCUUUCCAAAGUCAUCAGAUUUUAGCUGAGUACAUAGGCCCACAUAAUAAAGAGUUCAUGUCCCAGUCUCCCUUGCAGCUGAAUGUGGCCAUGUGACUAAGUACCAGCUAAAGGGAAAUCAGUGGAAGUGUCCAGUCCAAAUACCUUCCUUGAGAGACCCUUCCUCAAGAGACUAUUCCUUUGCCCCUCUGUCUUCCCCCCUCCCUCCAUCCUAGAAUACCUCCCUGCUGUCUUAGGGAGUGAGGACGAGGGGCUACACAGCAGUGGUGGAUGGGGCUGGAGGCAGAGCUCCCUCCCAGGCUGGACCACAGGGCUCUUUCACAUGAGCAGAGGGUAAACAUCUGUCACCAGGAGCAUUUCACUGGCGGGAGCUGGGCCACAUGCCUGUGCCUGCAAAGCAUCAUCAUGAUGGUCCAGCCCCCGCAAGCCUCACCUUGGGGCUGGGCAGAAACCCAGGGGAGCUGAGGCAUGGGGGGCCAUUUCGUAGCAGUCAGCAGUGUCUGCCAGAGAAGCAGGGGGAGAGCCAGGACUUGGGGAGCCCAAGUGGAACCCUUUAAGCAUAUCUUGUACUGUCUGCAUUGUCAUCCUCAGGGCAGUUGGGUAGAAACUCGAUUCACUCUUUUUUUUUUUUUGGUAUUUUUAGGGCAGCACUUGCAGGAUAUGAAGGUUCCCAGGCUAGGGGUAGAAUCAGAGCUGCAGCUGCUGGCCUCUGCCACAGCCACAGCCAUAGCAACUGCCAUAUCCUAGCUGCAUCUGUGACCUACACCACAGCUCAUGGCAACGCCAGAUCCCUAAUCCACUGAGCAAGGCCAGGGAUUGAAACUGAGCCCCUGUAGAUACAAGUCGGAUUUGGUAACCAGUGAGCCACAAGGGAAUGCCUCACUUCACUCUUUAAAGUAAAACAUACUAAGGUACUAAGGUAAGUCCCCUGAUUAAAAGUGCACAGUGCUUCCACAACCAAAGAAGAGUAAUUUCUACUGUUUGGGAUUGCACAAGAAAUUUUCUGAGUUUGGAGAAAGACCAUUUGAAGUAUUUCUAAUAGAUUAUCUUGAAUUUUCUAUAAACUUGAUCAUCUCUAAUUCUUUUAUCAGCUUCUAAUACAUACAUUUCUAUUUUUUUUUUUUUGUCUUUUUUUUUUUGCGGGGGGGCAGCUACCCCCAUGGCAUAUGGAGGUUCCCAGCCUAGGGGUCGAAUCAAACCUGUAGCUGUUGGCUUACACCAUUAGCCACAGCAAUGCCAGAUCUGGGGCAUAUCUGCAACCUAUACCACAGCCCACAGCAAUGCCAGAACCUUAACCCACUGAGCAAGGCCAGGGAUCAAACCUGCGUCCUCAUGGAUACUAGUCAGAUUCGUUUCUGCUGAGCCACAAUGGGAACUCCCCCAUACACUUCUUUAAAAUUAUAUUUGUUACCUAUUUUCUGUUAUGUUAUACAUAUUAAUAGAAAACAUGGAGAGCUCCCCAUUUGGUGCAAUGGGAUCAGCAGCAUCUUGGGAGAGCUGGGACAUGGGUUUGAUCCCUAGUCUGGCACAGUGGAUUAAAGAUCACACAUUGCUGCAGCUGCAGCUUAGGUUGCAACUGCGGCUUGUAUCUGAUUCCUGAUCUGGGAGCUCCAUAUGCUGCAGGGCAGCAAAAAAUGAAGAGGGAAAAAAAAAUGGAAAACACAAGGGAAAAAAAACCUCCAAUUCCUUCUGUAGCUUUUUCAUCCAGUCUUUUCUCUAUAGGUAGAUUUUUGUUGUUGGGAUUUUUUUUUUUAAAUUUUUAGAUACAUUUAUUAGGUGGUUGUACAUGUAAUUUUAUAUUCUACUUUUUUCACUUACAUAGCAUAAGUAGUUUCACUUCAUUUCACCUUAUACUUGCAAACAUAAAUUUGAAUAGCUAUAUAUAUACACUAAAAUUUUUACCUUUGUUCUUUUUAAUGAGAAAUGUUCAUAAAAUAGAUAUAUGUAGAGCCAAUGAGCAUAUUAGAGAAACUUCUCUCUGUCCUCAGCCUUUGAGACAAAGUGAGAGCGACUACGUGAGAUCCCGGUGCUAACUUAGAUCCAAGAAGUAAAACUGAAUGUGACUGUCCCUUUCACAUUCCCUUAGGCCUGUGCCAGCGUGAGCUCAUUAUACUUACAACACAAAAGGAAUAUUACAGAUUUCUAUUGGGGGAGAACCUCCUAUUUUGGAAAAGCACCCAGAGGUACUUAAAUCAAAUGGUUUAUCUGAGUUAGUGCAUUCUAAGACUGUAUACUAAAAGAUAUACUUUUAAAACAUCAAAUUAUAUUGGAGUUUCCCGGUGGCUUAGUGAUUAGGGAUUUGGUGGUGUCACUGCUGUGGCCUGGGUUCAGUCCUGGCCCCAGGAACUUCCUUAUGCCUUGAGUGUGGCCAAUACAAAAAACAUCAGAUUGUAAGCAGUAAUAACUGGUUUAUGUAGAAGGUGGCUCUUUGCUUGGGGCCUCCUGGUGGUCUCCACCACUGCAGCCACCCUCUAAUAUCCCCUCCUCACUUCUGACGUCUGUCAACAAAAUAAGGACUAGCUAUUUGUUCUCUUUCUCCUGUUUAUAUUGUCUUCUUCUUCUGUUCCUGUUCCUCUUUUUCCUUCUCUCUCUGCCUCUUCCCCACUUUCUUUUAAUUCACCAAGUUUUAUUAGCUAUUUUUCACAAACACCCUGAGAAGUAGGUCAGCAGAAUUUGCCGAAGAGGAAGCAGUGGCAGAAGGUUGGGUUGCUGUCUCCGGGUCCAUGGGACACCCAGUGGAGUAGCCCUGUCCUGGAGCCCGCCUCUUCAGCCCUCCCACUCCAUGCCUGUUUCACUUCUCUGCCUAAGGCCAGGUCCCUACCAGCCUCCUCUCAGAGCUGCUUUGCAGGACCCCCAUCCCCACCUACAUCACCAAGGAGGUUGACAUCAGCAGAGGUGAGUAAAUAGUCAUCUUCAUCCUUAGGGCUCACCAUACCUGUCACCCAGUAUGACGUAGGUCCUCCUGCAAAUGGUUUCUGCACAUCCAGUCAUAAGGCUUGGGAUCCUUUCUGCACUAGUUCUUCAUCAUAGGCCAGCUUGGCUGAAGCUGAGCAGGGCAGGGUUCAGGGUCCCAAGAGGCAGCAAUGUCACUGACCCUUUAGGUGCACCAUACUGCUCAAACCAGUCUCAGUGGGGUUCCCUGUGCCCUCAAACGGUGGCUGCCAUCCCCAUGGCCGGUCCUGGUGGCUGUGGCCAGGCUGAACCACAGAGCACACUGGUGUUGAUAAGACACUGGUGCUUGCCUUCCUCAGCCUGGCUCACUCAGCAUUCUCAUCUGAAGACAGAAGAAGGCGUCCAGCCCCAGGAUUGGGCAUCGGUGGGGUAAGGCAUGUAAAAGCCAUUGAAACAGCAUCUGUCCCCACCUGCUGCCCACAAAAACCCAGCACUGCUCCUGCCCCACUAGGUCACAGAGCCAGUAGGCCCUUCAGAGUGGUGGGUACCCAGCAUAACCAAAAGGCACAGGUAUUUUCAGGGAGACCAGCUCUGAGACCAUGGCCCCACAUUGUGAGUCACCACCUAGAGAGUGAGUGGAGUUCACGCCGAUGACCAGGCUGCCAUGAGCCAGCUGGCCAUUCAGCCUUAAGCACAGCACAGGUCUGUGCCAGGAGAAAUCUCUGUGGUUUUUUGUCACCGUGGAAGACACGGUCUACCAUUGGGAGCCCCUGAGACCACCCUCCCUCCACCAAACCUGGGCCCACUCUCCCUGACCCUCCACCACCCUUGAGAACGUCCUCUGCCUUGGAAGUAACUCACACUGAAGCAAGAAGAGCUAAAACAUCUUCCUCAGAGGUUUAUAAAGUUUGUAGAGAGAUUUCUGAGCAGAGAAACUGCACUGUGUGAUUGGCUUGGCUUGGGUUUCCCUCACCUGGUGAACCCAGCUUUUACUAUAGAUUCCCUUGUAGGCUGAUGUCUGGCUUUGCUGAGCCCUUACACACAACCAGUCUCAGGGCCCUGCCUUUCACCUAACCCUGCUUCCCUAUGACCCCAUAGCCUGAGGGGACCUAUAACUCAGACAUGUCAGAGACAAUGAGUAUAUCUAGUGCCCCAGUCUUGGUUCUGAAUGACAUGCUUCAUUAAAGGGAUCAGGGCUGGUGCAGAAAUGUGAGAGCCUGGGACAUCUCACACCACGGAGUAUGGAAGGGCUCCGCAUGUUAAAAAGACACAGCCUAAAGGGACUGCUUCUGGCUAAAUAUGGGACACGUUGAACAUUAAAAAGUGUUAGUAAUGAAUUCUCCCCCAUAUGGUGAUGACCCUUGAGGCACACUGACAGACAUAAAUGAGGAAGAAGGACAAGCCCUCUAGCACAAGAGCAUCCACUAACAAGUGUAAAAGGAGUGGUGGAGUUAGGAAAUGCACAAUGGAUAUUCACACAGGUGGGUGAAAGCUUGAUAUUUCAAGAUACUUUGAAAGUAAAAAAAACCACACAUCCUGCAGUCCUGCCAUUUAGGUUGUUAGAAGUCACCUCCUAAAGUGCUAUCUGAGUGACCUAUGUCCCUGUGCACCCACUGUGCUCAGUGUCAGUGUACUUAACACAGGCUAGGAACAUGAAUGCAGCUAAUUCAGCCCAUGUACACGUUACUGCAGUGAUUGCGGACCAAAGAAGUAUUUUCAACUCAAGAAAUACCCAUCUUUGAAGUUGUUGCUCAGUGGUAACAAACCCAACUCAUAUCCAUGAGGAUGCAGGUUCCGUCCAUGGCCUUGCUCAGUGGGUUAAGGAUCUCGCGUUGCCACAAGCUGUGGUGUAGGUCGCAGACAAGUUUUGGAUCCUGUGAGGCUGUGGCUGUGGCAUAGUCUGGCAGCUGCAGCUCCAGUUUGAGCCCUUGUCCAGGAACUUCCAUGGACCUCAUGUGCGACCCUUAAAAAAAACACAAAAAACUUCUGCUUCUUCCGUUCCCUUGUGGUGCAGGAUCUAGCAUUGUCACUGCAGUGGUCAAGGUGGAUGCUGUGGAUUGGGUUCAAUCCCUGCCCGGGGAACUUCCACAUGCCAUAGGUAGAGAAAAAAAAAAAAAUCUAUGGGUGGCCACUUUCACACAGAUUAGACCUGGCUUUGGAUUUCUGCCAAGCUGUAUAAGCUCAGGCAAGCUGCUUAACCUCUCUGAGCUUCAAUCUUUCAUCUAUGUAAUGGAGGUAAUUAUAAUACCUGUUGAAUGAACCAGCAAUUCCACCCCUAGUAUUUCCUCAAGGGAAAUGAAAACAUGUCCACACAAAGAUUUGUACAUGUCUGAUCAUAGUGGCUUUUUUCAUGACAGCCCCAAACUGGAUACAACCCAAGGCAAAAAAAGGAACAAACCAGUGCUAGUGUGGAUGAAUUUCAGAACCAUAAUGCCAAGUGAAAGAAGCCACACGAAAGGCUGUAGAUUACAUGAUUCCGUUUAUAGGAAAGUCUAGAAAAGGUAAAGCUGGUGCAGUCAGUGGUUGCCAGGGGCCAAGAGGGAGGAUUGUCUGCAGACGGGUGAUGGGGAGGUUCUACAAACGCUGCGGUGAUAGUUACAAGAUUGUAUACUUUUGUCAAAAUUUAUUGAAUUGUAUACGUAAAAUUGGUGAACUUUGUUGUGUGUGAGUUAAGCCUAAUAAAGCAAAUUAAAAACC